UAUCAUUUGUUGAUUGUUUACUGUGGACUAGGUAGGACAUGUCCCCAAAAUCCCAUCACAACUCUGAGGUAGGCUGUUAUCCCCAUUUCAUAGCUGAGGGUGCUCAGACACAGGCAGAGUAACUUUUGCAAUAUUUCCCAGUUUGGAGGUGCUGGAGCUGGGUUUUGAAUCUAAGAAGUCUAGUUCCAGAGCUCUGGCUCUUAACCGGUCUUCUGUUUGUUUUCAUCAUUCUCAUCUCUGUUUAGUGGCUAUAUUAUCAUAUAUGAAAUUAAUAUGCUGUGAUAAUGAAGUUAUUCCAUUAUUGAUGGACAGUUAAAAGCUCAUGGCAAUGCUGGAUCCUUAACCCACUGAGCAAGGCCAGGGAUCAAACCUAUGUCCUCAUGGAUGCUAGUCAGAUUCGUUUCUGCUGAGCCACGACUGGAACUCCUGAGCCACAAUUUUGACAUAUGCUGCAGCUAUAGCAAUGCCAGAUCCUUUAAGCCACUGUGCCAGGCCGGGGAUCAAACCUGUGUCCUGGUGCUGCAGAGAUGUUGCCAAUCCUAUUGCACAACAGUGGGAACUCUGUUGUAUCCUUUUUUUUUUUUUUUUUUUGUCUUUUGUCUUUUUGUUGUUGUUGUUGCUAUUUCUUGGGCCGCUCCCGCGGCAUAUGGAGGUUGCGGGUUCGAUCCCUGGCCUCGCUCAUUGGGUUAAGAAUCCAAAGUUGCCGUGAGCUGUGGUGUAGGUCGUUGCAGACAUGGCUCGGCUCUGGCAUUGCAAUGGCUCUGGCAUAGGCAGCAAUAGCUGCCGGCAGCAACAGCUCAGCUUAGACCCCUAGUCUGGGACCCUCCAUAUGCCGCUGGUGUUGCCCUAAAAGGACAAAAGACAAAAUAAUAAUAAUAAUAAUAAAAAUUUUGAAAAUAAAAUAAAACCUUUAAAAAAAUUUUUAAAGGAAUUUAAGAGUUGUUAAUCCUGUUUUGAUUGGUCUUUCAUAAUUUUUUUUUUUGCCUUUUCUAGGGCCACUCACGCGGAAUGUGGAGGUUCCCAGGCUAGGGGUCUAAUCAGAGCUGUAGCCACCAGCCUACGCCAGAGCCACAGCAAUGCAGUAUCCGAGCUGCAUCUGUGACCUAUACCACAGCUCAUGGCAACGCCAGAUCCUUAACCCACUGAGCAAGGCAGGGAUGGAACCCACAACCUCAUGGUUCCUAGUCGGAUUCGUUAACCACUGUGCCAUGAUGGGAACUCCUCAUAAUGUUUUUUAAAGAAAGCUUCUUCUGUCUUUACUUCAAAAUUGAGAAGCCUGGUACCUGUUUCUUAAGAUUUAGAUUCCAGGUUCCCACCCAGACCUAUAGUAUAGAGUUUUUUAGGGAUGAAGUCUUGGAAUCUGCAUUUUAUUUUAUUUUUAUUUUUAUGGCCACACCUGCAGCAUGUAAAAGUUCCCGGGCCAGGGGUCGAAUCAGGGCUGUGCUGUGGCCUAGGCCACAGCUUGUGGCACCGCUGGCUUCUUAGCUCACUGAGCCAAGCCAGGGAUUGAACCCACAUCCUUAUAUUAAAUUACCUUAAAUAUUUGGAAACAAUCCAAUAAUUAAAAAAAAAGAAUAAAUAGCUUAAAAGAGAUGGACAUUUUUCUAUUUUUAUUUGCAUACAACAUGCAGAAUUUGGACUUCUUUCAGUGGAAUAAAGGGAACACCUUCUAACAUCUUCCUUUUUUUCCCUUGGUAAACCUUGACAUUCUGAAACAUUCCAUAUGCCCUGUGUGCUAGGAACUACUCAGAGAUUCAGGAAGUGAGAUUUCCACUCAAGGUUGACACACUUGUGGUGAAGAUACCUUUACACAGGUAACAACCUAAUGUGAAGCUUAAUAUGAACAGCCUGUAAUAGGGACUCAGAGCUGGGGAAGUGGGAUGUUUGGAGGAGUCAAGAAAAGUUUUACCAAAGAGGACAUUUGAGCUGUGCUUUGAAGGAUGAAUACUUCCUAAGGUGGAUCAAGUUAGGGAAUGGCAUGAGUAGGUAAUACAAGGUAUGAAAAAACUUGUCAGGUUUGAGCAGUCGUCGGUAGUUCUUUGUGGCCAUAGCUUGGCAGAUGGGGUGGGAAAGUGGUAGUAGAAGAUAAGACUGAGAAGGUAGAAUAAGCAGUUUCAAUUAGAAUUUUGGCAAGGUUUUUUUAUUUUCUUUUUUAUGGCCGCACUUGUGGCCUGUGGAACUUUCCAGGCCAGGGACUAACCUGAGCUGUAGUUGUGACCUGUGGCACAACUGCCACAACGCUGGAUCCUUUAACCCGCUGUGCUGGGCUGGGGGUUGAACCCGUGCCUCUGAAGCGACCCAGGCUACUGCAGUUGGAUUCUGAACCCAUGUGCUGCAAUGGGAACUCCAAGGGUUUUUUUCUUUAAUUGCAGAAAAUCAUCUUAAAUUUUAUAUAAAACAAUAAAUGCAUGGGAAUAACCAAGUUUUGAAAAAGAAUAGUGGAGGUAGAGGGGGCUUCUAUUCCUAGAUAUAAAAUAUAUAAAGCUACUGAUUAAAUCAUUAUGGCAUUAGCAUAGAAAUAGAGAAAGAGUUGAACAGAACAGAUUCAUAGAUUCUUAUGUAAAUGAGAAUUUAAUAUAUGACAAAAUUAGUAUUUUAACUUCAUGGAGAAGAAUUUUAUUUUUCUGGAGUUCCCGUCGUGGCGCAGUGGUUAACAAAUCUGACUAGGAACCAUGAGUUUGCGGGAUCAAUCCCUGCCCUUGCUCAGUGGGUUAAGGAUCCAGCGUUGCCGUGAGCUGUGGUGUAGGUCGAAGACCGGCUCGGAUCCCACGUUGCUGUAGCUCUGGCGUAGGCCGGCGGCUAUAGCUCCAAUCGACCCCUAGUUUGGGAACCUCCACAUGCCACGUGAGCGGCCCUAGAAAAAGCAAAAAGACCAAAAAAAAAAAAAAAAA
rnacentral:lncRNA from 1 species